GCGUGAUGUGAAGAAGGCUCUUCGGAUGGUAAAGCUCUUUCAGACUGGGAGGAAGCGGUCUAGAUCAAUACUCUGCAAUAAUGACGGUACCGUCAGAAUAUGCACCGGCUAACUAUGUGCCAGCAGCCGCGGUAAUACAGAGGGUGCGAGCGUUAAUCGGAAUUACUGGGCGUAAAGCGUGCGUAGGUGGUUUGGUAAGACGGAUGUGAAAUCCCCGGGCUCAACCUGGGAACUGCAUCCGUGACUGCCAAGCUAGAGUACGGUAGAGGGGGGUGGAAUUUCAUGUGUAGCGGUGAAAUGCGUAGAUAUAGGGAGGAACACCAAUGGCGAAGGCAACCACCCUGGACCGAUACUGACACUGAGGCACGAAAGCGUGGGGAGCAAACAGGAUUAGAUACCCUGGUAGUC
rnacentral:rRNA from 1 species